CCCCUGUCACCGGGGAUGAAACGCUUUGAGCUAAUAGUUCAAAGCCUGACUUAACCCGGAGAGGAAGCAGUGGCUAACUCUGUGCCAGCAGCCGCGGUAAUACAGAGACUGCAAGCGUUAUCGGAUUCACUGGGCGUAAAGGGUGCGCAGGCGGCUAGAUGUGUCAGGUGUGAAAUCCCGAGGCUUAACCUCGGAACUGCGCCUGAAACUAUUUAGCUAGAGGAUUGGAGAGGGUAACGGAAUUCACGGUGUAGCAGUGAAAUGCGUAGAUAUCGUGAGGAACACCAGAGGCGAAGGCGGUUACCUGGACAAUUACUGACGCUCAGGCACGAAAGCGUGGGGAGCAAAAGGGAUUAGAUACCCCUGUAGUCCACGCCCUAAACGGUGCACACUAGGUCUUGGCGGAUUCGACCCCUCCAGGGCCCAAGCUAACGCGAUAAGCGUGCCGCCUGAGGACUACGGCCGCAAGGCUA
rnacentral:rRNA from 1 species